rnacentral:rRNA from 1 species
UUGGAGGGCAAGUCUGGUGCCAGCAGCCGCGGUAAUUCCAGCUCCAAUAGCGUAUAUUAAAGUUGUUGUAGUUAAAAAGCUCGUAGUUAAAUUUCGGGGUUAGUAGGUUGGUCAUGCCUCUGGUAUGUACUGGUCUCACUGAUUCCACCUUCCUGAUGAACCUUAAUGCCAUUAAUUUGGUGUUUUGGGGAAUUUGGACUGUUACUUUGAAAAAAUUAGAGUGUUUAAGCAAGCUAACGCUUGAAUACAUUAGCAUGGAAUAAUGAAAUAGGACGUUCGAUCCUAUUUUGUUGGUUUCUAGGAUUGACGUAAUGAUUAAUAGGGAUAGUUGGGGGCAUUAGUAUUCAAUUGUCAGAGGUGAAAUUCUUGGAUUUAUUGAAGACUAACUACUGCGAAAGCAUUUGCCAAGGAUGUUUUCAUUAAUCAAGAACGAAAGUUAGGGGAUCGAAGACGAUCAGAUACCGUCGUAGUCUUAACCAUAAACUAUGCCGACUAGGGAUCGGAUGAUGUUAAUUUUUUAAUGACUCAUUCGGCGCCUUACGGGAAAC